rnacentral:rRNA from 1 species
AUUUAUUUUAAAGGGCCGCGGUAUACUGACCGUGCGAAGGUAGCAUAAUCAUUAGUCUUUUAAUUGAAGGCUUGUAUGAAUGGUUGGACAAAAAGCAAACUGUCUCAGUUGUAAUAAUUGAAUUUAACUUUUGAGUGAAAAGGCUUAAAUAAGUUAGGGGGACGAUAAGACCCUAUAAAGCUUGACAAUAAGCCGUUUAUAUUAUAAAUUGUUAGUAUAACUUGAUUUUAAAUGGUGUUUGUUGCGUUGGGGCGACGAGAAUAUAAAAGAUAACUGUUCUUAUAAUAUUUAAUAACAGAAAUAGCUGGAAAAUUAAUGAUCCUUUCUUUAAGAUCAUAAGAUUAAGUUACUUUAGGGAUAACAGCGUAAUCUUCCUUGAGAGUUCAUAUCGACAGGAAGGGUUGCGACCUCGAUGUUGAAUUAAGGUAUCCUUAUAAUGCAGCAGUUAUAAAGGAAGGUCUG